rnacentral:rRNA from 1 species
UACACACCGCCCGUCACAUCACGAAAGCCCGUUGUACUACGAAGCCCGGUAAUUCAACCGCAAGGGAGAUACGCCGUCCAAGGUAUGACUGGUGAUUGGGUCGG